GAUGAACGCUGGCGGCGUGCCUAAUACAUGCAAGUCGAGCGAGCAGACGAGGAGCUUGCUCCUCUGACGUUAGCGGCGGACGGGUGAGUAACACGUGGAUAACCUACCUAUAAGACUGGUAUAACUUCGGGAAACCGGAGCUAAUACCGGAUAAUAUAUUGAACCGCAUGGUUCAAUAGUGAAAGACGGUUUUGCUGUCACUUAUAGAUGGAUCCGCGCCGCAUUAGCUAGUUGGUAAGGUAACGGCUUACCAAGGCAACGAUGCGUAGCCGACCUGAGAGGGUGAUCGGCCACACUGGAACUGAGACACGGUCCAGACUCCUACGGGAGGCAGCAGUAGGGAAUCUUCCGCAAUGGGCGAAAGCCUGACGGAGCAACGCCGCGUGAGUGAUGAAGGUCUUCGGAUCGUAAAACUCUGUUAUUAGGGAAGAACAAAUGUGUAAGUAACUAUGCACGUCUUGACGGUACCUAAUCAGAAAGCCACGGCUAACUACGUG
rnacentral:rRNA from 1 species